GACGAACGCUGGCGGCGUGCUUAACACAUGCAAGUCGAACGAUGAACUGGAGCUUGCUCCAGGGAUUAGUGGCGAACGGGUGAGUAACACGUGAGUAACCUGCCCUUGACUCUGGGAUAAGCGCUAGAAAUGGCGUCUAAUACCGGAUACGAGCUUCAGCCGCAUGGCUAGGAGUUGGAAAGAAUUUUGGUCAAGGAUGGACUCGCGGCCUAUCAGCUAGUUGGUGAGGUAAUGGCUCACCAAGGCGACGACGGGUAGCCGGCCUGAGAGGGUGACCGGCCACACUGGGACUGAGACACGGCCCAGACUCCUACGGGAGGCAGCAGUGGGGAAUAUUGCACAAUGGGCGAAAGCCUGAUGCAGCAACGCCGCGUGAGGGAUGACGGCCUUCGGGUUGUAAACCUCUUUUAGUAGGGAAGAAGCGAAAGUGACGGUACCUGCAGAAAAAGCACCGGCUAACUACGUGCCAGCAGCCGCGGUAAUACGUAGGGUGCAAGCGUUGUCCGGAAUUAUUGGGCGUAAAGAGCUCGUAGGCGGUUUGUCGCGUCUGCUGUGAAAUCUGGGGGCUCAACCCCCAGCCUGCAGUGGGUACGGGCAGACUAGAGUGCGGUAGGGGAGAUUGGAAUUCCUGGUGUAGCGGUGGAAUGCGCAGAUAUCAGGAGGAACACCGAUGGCGAAGGCAGAUCUCUGGGCCGUAACUGACGCUGAGGAGCGAAAGCAUGGGGAGCGAACAGGAUUAGAUACCCUGGUAGUCCAUGCCGUAAACGUUGGGAACUAGAUGUGGGGGCCAUUCCACGGUCUCCGUGUCGCAGCUAACGCAUUAAGUUCCCCGCCUGGGGAGUACGGCCGCAAGGCUAAAACUCAAAGGAAUUGACGGGGGCCCGCACAAGCGGCGGAGCAUGCGGAUUAAUUCGAUGCAACGCGAAGAACCUUACCAAGGCUUGACAUAUACCGGAAACGUCCAGAGAUGGUCGCCCCGCAAGGUCGGUAUACAGGUGGUGCAUGGUUGUCGUCAGCUCGUGUCGUGAGAUGUUGGGUUAAGUCCCGCAACGAGCGCAACCCUUGUUCUAUGUUGCCAGCACGUUAUGGUGGGAACUCAU
rnacentral:rRNA from 1 species